rnacentral:misc_RNA from 1 species
AGGAGUCUAACAUGCCCGCGGGUUCAACAUUUUCAAUCCUUAGCGUGCGAAAGCGAAAAGUCUUUCACUACUAGCAGAGCGCAUAUGUUAGGUCCCGAAAAAUGGUGAACUAUUUCUGCUUAGGGCGAAGUCAUUGGAAACUUUGGUGGAAGGUCUCAACGGUUCUGACGUGCAAAUCGAUCGUGUGAAGUAGGUAUAGGGGCGAAAGACUAAUCGAACCAUUUAGUAGCUGGUUCUCUC